rnacentral:misc_RNA from 1 species
UAUCCGUUGGUGAACCAGCGGAGGGAUCAUUACCGAGUUUACAACUCCCAAACCCCUGCGAACAUACCAUUUGUUGCCUCGGCGGUGCCUGCCUCGGCAGCCCGCCAGAGGACCCAAACCCGUGAUUUUAUACAGUAUCUUCUGAGUAAAUGAUUAAAUAAAUCAAAACUUUCGACAACGGAUCUCUUGGUUCUG